CACAUGCAAGUCGAACGAGAGGACAUGGGGAAGCUUGCUUCCUAUGAAAUCGAGUGGGCAAACGGGUGAGUAAACGCGUAAACAACCUGCCCUUCGGAUGGGGAUAACAGCCGGAAACGGCUGCUAAUACCGAAUACGAUCUUUUCGUCGCAUGACGGAAAGAAGAAAAAGGAUGGCCUCUAUACAAAGCUAUCGCCGAAGGAGGGGUUUGCGUCUGAUUAGCUGGUUGGAGGGUAACGGCCCAACAAGGCGAUGAUCAGUAGCCGGUCUGAGAGGAUGAACGGCCACAUUGGGACUGAGACACGGCCCAGACUCCUACGGGAGGCAGCAGUGGGGAAUCUUCCGCAAUGGACGAAAGUCUGACGGAGCAACGCCGCGUGAGUGAAGAAGGUCUUCGGAUUGUAAAGCUCUGUUAUACGGGACGAAAAAGACGGAUGCCAACAGUAUCCGUCCGUGACGGUACCGUAAGAGAAAGCCACGGGCUAACUACGUACCAGCAGCCGCGGUAAAU
rnacentral:rRNA from 1 species